UACAGAGGUCCCAAGCGUUGUUCGGAUUCAUUGGGCGUAAAGGGUGCGUAGGUGGCGCCGUAAGUGGGGUGUGAAAUUUCGGAGCUUAACUCCGAACUGCAUUCCAUACUGCGGUGCUUGAGGACUUGGAGAGGAGACGUGGAAGUUCAUGGUGUAGUAGUGAAAUGCGUAGAGAAUCAUGAGGAAGACCAGUGGCGAAGGCGG
rnacentral:rRNA from 1 species